GGAGACGCUGGUGUAAUGGCAGCACAAGAGGUUGUGGACCUCUUUGUCGGGGUUCGAAACCCCGGCGUCUCCA
rnacentral:tRNA from 1 species